ensembl:lncRNA RNF217-AS1 RNF217 antisense RNA 1 (head to head)
GCUGUUCAUCCCCUCCCUCUUUUCGAUCCCCAGCUUCCUCCUCUUCCUCCUCCAGCUCCAACUGCAGUGGCAAGGUCUGGGGAUUGAGAGGCCCGGCAUGACUAAGAGAUAUCGUGAAAUUACAACUCAACAAUGAAUUACAGCACAGGCUUUUCACAACUAAGAGACUGUCCAUCAUGGUGCCAGUUUUUCUCAAAAUGGCAUGUGUGCAUGAAAUUCUACAGGCAUAUGGGGUCGUGAUCUGCUAAUCUCCAGUUAUUAUAGAAUUUAGACAUGAAAGAGUGGAAUAUAUUCUGUUUUAAAAAUAUUAUUGCAAAUUGUUGCACCUGUGCAUCUCUUCCAGACUACUUUGAAAAGGGACUUUCCAGCUAUCAGUACACUAUCUCACAAUUACCCUUGAACCAGAAGACAAUGAAUGAUUUGCUAAACAGAUGGCAUAGUCUAUGACAUGCAUCAUAUGUGUGAGCAAUCACAGAAGGUAUGACUUUUCUCAUGAAAUAUUUUCAGACAAAUAUUUUAAGUUAAUCUAACAUUCACUAAAUCUACCUACUGAUUUUAGGUAGAUUUUCUUUCUCCAAAUAUACAUUUUUAAAUAAAAAUUUUCAUUGUAUUGCAUUGUAUUUUAUUGGUUAUCAACAGCACCAUGUUCUUAGUUUUUUUAAAAAAAAUGUUUAAUGAGUUGUAAUAUUUGUGUCUUUAAGCAAGGGGUUCCCUCAUUUUUCCUGUCUUUUCUGGCUUGAUUUGAAGUUAUUCCUGGGUAUCAAUAUUCUACACACAUUGUCUACUGCUUACCUCCAACACAGCAGUUUUCACUGUCAUGUAAUUAUUUGUUUGCUCAUCGCUCUUCCCCAUGACCAUCAACUCCUUGAAGGUAGGGCCAUUAUUUAUACAUCUUAUAACUGAAGCUUACAGCAUCAGAUCAGUUAUAUGAUCAGAACACAAUGUUUGUUGUAGAAUAAAUGAAUAAACUUUGUUAAUUCACUCAGGUCUAACUAGUCUCCUACAUGAUGAAAUAUAGCUAAGAAAAUUCAAAGUAGAGUUCCACAAAAGAAAAACAAAGUAAAUAUCAAUUUAUUAAUUUAUAAUUUGAUCCAAAGACCAAUUUCCAAGAGGCUCUCUCAGGUACCAAAUUGCUGAAGUCCUUUUCUAGGACAUCUCCCUUCCUGGUGUCAAAGUACGUGGAAAACUGAAGCUUUAAGCAAAAGAUGGCUUGGGUAUAUAUUUAACCUAGCUUCUGUUGAAGCAUCACUAGUCUGCAAAUACCACAUUUCUCUAGUGACCAUCUUCAUGUCUCUGAGCCUUAAAGAAUACUGGUUAAAACACUAACAGAUAUUAUGUUUCUGAAUAUGUGCUUUAUUUGCUAGUUAUCCUAUUUCUAAUGACAUAUUCAGUAGAUUUGUUUAUGUUGUAAAAUGAAGUGCUAUCAAUUUAUUGUUAUCAUGAACAGUCAGAAUAAA